rfam:Oesophagostomum dentatum strain OD-Hann O_dentatum-1.0_Cont2279.1, whole genome shotgun sequence.
GUUCAUUCUUGGAUAUAUGUUAAAAUUGGAACAAUACAGAGGAUAUUAGAAUGGUCCCUGCGCAAGGAUGACACGCAAAUUUUUGAAGCGUCCCAAAUUAUA